UGCAUCGGCCGGGAAUCGAACCCGGGCCGCCCGCGUGGCACAGGCGAGCAUCUAUCUACCACUGAACCACCGAUGG